GACUAACGCUGGCGGCGUGCCUAACACAUGCAAGUCGAACGAAGCAGCAAUGCUUAGUGGCAGACGGGUGAGUAACGCGUAGAUAAUGUGCCCUCUUGCGGGGGAUACCGUUUCGAAAGGAACGUUAAUACCGCAUAAAGUCCUUAGGAGGCAUCUCCCUAGGACCAAACUUCCGGGGCGGGAGGAGCAAUCUGCGUACUAUCAGCUAGUUGGUGAGGUAAUGGCUCACCAAGGCUACGACGGUUAACUGGUCUGAGAGGAUGAUCAGUCACACUGGAACUGAGACACGGUCCAGACUCCUACGGGAGGCAGCAGUGAGGAAUAUUGCGCAAUGGGCGAAAGCCUGACGCAGCGACGCCGCGUGGAGGAUGAAGGAUUUCGGUCUGUAAACUCCUGUCAGUAGGGAAGAGAAUGGACGGUACCUACUGAGGAAGCUUCGGCUAACUACGUGCCAGCAGCCGCGGUAA
rnacentral:rRNA from 1 species